rnacentral:rRNA from 1 species
CCGCACGGGUGAGUAACACGUAUCCAACCUGCCGUCUACUCUUGGACAGCCUUCUGAAAGGAAGAUUAAUACAAGAUGGCAUCAUGAGUCCGCAUGUUCACAUGAUUAAAGGUAUUCCGGUAGACGAUGGGGAUGCGUUCCAUUAGAUAGUAGGCGGGGUAACGGCCCACCUAGUCUUCGAUGGAUAGGGGUUCUGAGAGGAAGGUCCCCCACAUUGGAGCUGAGACACGGUCCAA